CGCAUCUGUGCAUGCAGCAUAUCAAUAAGCGGAGGAAAAGAAACUAACAAGGAUUCCCCUAGUAACGGCGAGUGAAGUGGGAAGAGCUCAAAUUUGAAAUCUUAAAGGGUUUCCCUUUACGAAUUGUAGUUUAAAGAAGUGUUUUCUGUUGAGGUUUUGGUAAAAGUUCUUUGGAAUAGGACAUCAUAGAGGGUGAGAAUCCCGUAUUUGGCCUUUACUUUCAACUUUGUGAUACACUUUCAAAGAGUCGGAUUGUUUGGGAAUGCAGUCCAAAAUGGGUGGUAAAUUUCAUCUAAAGCUAAAUAUUGGCGAGAGACCGAUAGCGAACAAGUACCGUGAGGGAAAGAUGAAAAGAACUUUGAAAAGAGAGUUAAACAGUACGUGAAAUUGUCAAAAGGGAAGCGUUUGACACCAGUGUUGUUUUUCUGAAAAUCAAUUAAAGAACUGUUUAUGCUAAGUUGUUUAGACUUUAUCAGCUAACUGUUUAGUUUUGAGCUUUUCUUUAAUGCACUUUUCAGUUAACAAGUCAACAUCAAUUUCUUUUGCUGUAAAAAAGCUUGAGGAAGGUGGCUUGAGAUUCGUCUUAAGUGUUUAUAGCCUCUUGCCUAUGCAGUCGGAGAGAUUGAGGUCUGCAGCGUAGAUCCUUCGGGGCUAAAUGCAUUUGUGCUAAGUUAUAACAUUUUAUAGACAACUUGUUGACUAUGAUUUGUCUUGUAGCUUACUCGCUUAUGUUAUUUUACCUACGCUUAGGAUGUUGACAGCAGUAUAGACUGU
rnacentral:rRNA from 1 species